rfam:Balearica pavonina gibbericeps contig97143, whole genome shotgun sequence.
CCAAAGGCUCUUUUAAGAGCCACCCAUGUUCUCAGUAAAAGAGCUU